rnacentral:ncRNA from 1 species
AAGGCGAAUGCCGAAAAGCCUGUAACAGAGUAGGCC